UAUAUAAACCAUAUCACCCUGUAGCCCAAGACUGGUUGCCCACUGAAGCUAAGCAGGGCUGAGCCUGGUCAGUACCUGGAUGGGAGACCUCCUGGGAAAACUAGGUUGCUGCUGGAA
rnacentral:rRNA from 1 species